rnacentral:rRNA from 1 species
CGUUUUGCAUAUCAAUAAGCGGAGGAAAAGAAACCAACAGGGAUUGCCUUAGUAGCGGCGAGUGAAGCGGCAAAAGCUCAAAUUUGAAAUCUGGCUCUUUCAGAGUCCGAGUUGUAAUUUGAAGAAGGUAUCUUUGGGUCUGGCUCUUGUCUAUGUUUCUUGGAACAGAACGUCACAGAGGGUGAGAAUCCCGUGCGAUGAGAUGAUCCAGGCCUAUGUAAAGUUCCUUCGAAGAGUCGAGUUGUUUGGGAAUGCAGCUCUAAGUGGGUGGUAAAUUCCAUCUAAAGCUAAAUAUUGGCGAGAGACCGAUAGCGAACAAGUACAGUGAUGGAAAGAUGAAAAGAACUUUGAAAAGAGAGUGAAAAAGUACGUGAAAUUGUUGAAAGGGAAGGGCUUGAGAUCAGACUUGGUAUUUUGUAUGUUACUUCUUCGGGGGUGGCCUCUACAGUUUAUCGGGCCAGCAUCAGUUUGGGCGGUAGGAGAAUUGCGUUGGAAUGUGGCACGGCUUCGGUUGUGUGUUAUAGCCUUCGUCGAUACUGCCAGCCUAGACUGAGGACUGCGGUUUAUACCUAGGAUGUUGGCAUAAUGAUCUUAAGUCGCCCGUCUUGAAACACGGAACCA